AUGGGUCAAACCCCAACCAGUAUACCAUAGCCAUCAUAGGACAGGCCCUAUGAUGGCAGAGGUAAACCCAAGCUAGUCAGAAUCAUACAAGAAUUUAACAUGGAACAAAGCCAUUUAACCAGCCAACAAACUGCUGGAGAACAACUAGUAAAAUAAAAAACAAAAAACCAACCCAUAAAGGGAUUAUGCAGAACAGCCCACACCUGCGCAGCACAAAACCACCCACCCCAAACCAGUUUCUGUUACAACAGUCCCAAGACAGGCACCACACGCAGCAUUGAUAGCAGCUCAAGACCACAAUAGUAGGCCAGCUGAGCAGCUACUCAGGACACAACAACAGAAGAAGCAGCCAACAUAAAGAUGCGGCUAAGCACCAAGCAGCUGCAAGAAACACAACAAUAGCAACGCAUUGAGGAUGGACUGCAGCUGCUCAAACCACAACAUCUGACAGCAGCCGAAAAUCCCCAGCAGCUAUAGCACCGCAGUCCCAGUUGAUCAAAACCGCAAGAUGGACUACAUUCGAGCUCAAAACAAUCCGCAGAACAUAGCAACCAACAGCAAACUAUAGAACAACAGAUGAUACCAGCACACUGCCAUCAACAAGAACUUGUUGCAUACAAACCUCAGGCCCUACAUAGCAGACUCAAAACAAAUCCGCCCAAGACCACAGACCUGCACUGCUCAGCUUCUUCCAAUAUGCAGAUUCCAGCCCAUCAAUACCAAAACCAGUAGUAGCAUCAAAAGCACCCAAAAUGGCCCAAACCGAGACCAUCCCUGCCCAUACGAAACACCCAGCGUUUCUGCACAAAGCCUACCACUGCUGCACUGCAACAAAGCAAGCCUCAACCUGCAGACCCAACCAGCAUAUACCAAACCUGCAACAGCAAAAACCUACAGUAACAAAAAACUGAAGCAAACAGAAAUCAUCUACAGACCCACUCGGAAGAUUUGCCUUAGCAGAAACUAGUUUGCCCGAAAACCUUUGACCCGAAAACAGGCCCAAACCAGUAGACUAGCCUUUGCAGCUGAUCCAAAUAGCACCCUAGAUGCCUAAUUGCACCCCAGAAGACAGAAACCAACUGCAGACCCAAGCCUCUAAACCGAAUCCCACAUACUCUAAUCCCCACAAGGAUGUUCCCCUCCCCAUCGUAUAAUCAGCACCAGCUUAUAAAAUAAGAUGGUUAUAACAUGAUCUGGACUUUAAUUUCUGAAACUGAGCAUUUGUGUGAAGGCCACACUUCAGUAAAUUAAUAAUAUCACCAAAAAUAGUCCUAGCAGGGGUGGAUUUUUUGAAGAAAAGCCGAGCAUUCCGUUCAUGCCAUAUCUGAUAGACCACAGUAGCAAACCCAAUAGACAACAGACUAUGAUGGAAAUUUUUGCAUGGGCAAUGCAUGAUAAAUCCAGUAAUAGAAGACAAAUUUCUACUUAACCCACGCCAACCACAAAGGCGGAGGACAGCACAAGGAUCUGAAAUGAGAAAGGACAUUCAAAGAAUAGGUGAUUGAAAGUUUCAUUUUCAUUUGAACAAAGCGCACAGAUGGGGUUUAUAACAAGCCAAAAUUUCAAGAGUC
rnacentral:lncRNA from 1 species